AAUACAUGCAAGUCGAACGCACUCUCGUUUAGAUUGAAGGAGCUUGCUCCUGAUUGAUAAACAUUUGAGUGAGUGGCGGACGGGUGAGUAACACGUGGGUAACCUGCCCUAAAGUGGGGGAUAACAUUUGGAAACAGAUGCUAAUACCGCAUAAAACCUAACACCGCAUGGUGUAGGGUUGAAAGAUGGUUUUGGCUAUCACUUUAGGAUGGACCCGCGGUGCAUUAGUUAGUUGGUGAGGUAAAGGCUCACCAAGACCGUGAUGCAUAGCCGACCUGAGAGGGUAAUCGGCCACACUGGGACUGAGACACGGCCCAGACUCCUACGGGAGGCAGCAGUAGGGAAUCUUCCACAAUGGACGAAAGUCUGAUGGAGCAACGCCGCGUGAGUGAAGAAGGUUUGUCGGAUCGUAAAACUUUGUUGUUGGAGAAGAAUGUAUCUGAUAGUAACUGAUCAGGUAGUGACGGUAUCCAACCAGAAAGCCACGGCUAACUACGUGCCAGCAGCCGCGGUAAUACGUAGGUGGCAAGCGUUGUCCGGAUUUAUUGGGCGUAAAGCGAGCGCAGGCGGUUUCUUAAGUCUGAUGUGAAAGCCUUCGGCUCAACCGA
rnacentral:rRNA from 1 species